AUUGAACGCUGGCGGCAGGCCUAACACAUGCAAGUCGGGCGGAUGAAGGGAGCUUGCUCCUAGAUUCAGCGGCGGACGGGUGAGUAAUGCCUAGGAAUCUGCCUGGUAGUGGGGGAUAACGUCCGGAAACGGGCGCUAAUACCGCAUACGUCCUGAGGGAGAAAGUGGGGGAUCUUCGGACCUCACGCUAUCAGAUGAGCCUAGGUCGGAUUAGCUAGUUGGUGGGGUAAAGGCCUACCAAGGCGACGAUCCGUAACUGGUCUGAGAGGAUGAUCAGUCACACUGGAACUGAGACACGGUCCAGACUCCUACGGGAGGCAGCAGUGGGGAAUAUUGGACAAUGGGCGAAAGCCUGAUCCAGCCAUGCCGCGUGUGUGAAGAAGGUCUUCGGAUUGUAAAGCACUUUAAGUUGGGAGGAAGGGCAGUAAGUUAAUACCUUGCUGUUUUGACGUUACCAACAGAAUAAGCACCGGCUAACUUCGUG
rnacentral:rRNA from 1 species